CGCGCCACCAAGCACUUCUGGUACCGCAGCUGAGAGAAAGAGGAAGGGGUGUGGUCAACCAAAGUUGUAGGUUAAAUGUUUUGUACAAUCCUACGAUGGAAUGCGCACCAGUCAGAAGCUGGUGCAUGAGACAGAUGGGCGGCGAAAAUUUGUUUAUUCUUGCCUAUGCCAUCUAAGGUGGGUGUAGCAUGGUGGCAAAGUUUGAUGAUCAUUUCAAGGUUUCCUCGAAC